GACGCAAGUCUGAUGGAGCAACGCCGCGUGAGUGAAGAAGGCUUUCGGGUCGUAAAACUCUGUUGUUGGAGAAGAAUGGUCGGCAGAGUAACUGUUGUCGGCGUGACGGUAUCCAACCAGAAAGCCACGGCUAACUACGUGCCAGCAGCCGCGGUAAUACGUAGGUGGCAAGCGUUAUCCGGAUUUAUUGGGCGUAAAGCGAGCGCAGGCGGUUUUUUAAGUCUGAUGUGAAAGCCCUCGGCUUAACCGAGGAAGUGCAUCGGAAACUGGGAAACUUGAGUGCAGAAGAGGACAGUGGAACUCCAUGUGUAGCGGUGAAAUGCGUAGAUAUAUGGAAGAACACCAGUGGCGAAGGCGGCUGUCUGGUCUGUAACUGACGCUGAGGCUCGAAAGCAUGGGUAGCGAACAGGAUUAGAUACCCUGGUAGUCCAUGCCGUAAACGAUGAAUGCUAGGUGUUGGAGGGUUUCCGCCCUUCAGUGCCGCAGCUAACGCAUUAAGCAUUCCGCCUGGGGAGUACGACCGCAAGGUUGAAACUCAAAGGAAUUGACGGGGGCCCGCACAAGCGGUGGAGCAUGUGGUUUAAUUCGAAGCAACGCGAAGAACCUUACCAGGUCUUGACAUCUUUUGAUCACCUGAGAGAUCAGGUUUCCCCUUCGGGG
rnacentral:rRNA from 2 species